GUGGAUUAGAUACCCGAGUAGUCCACGCUGUAAACGAUGAGUGCUAGGCAUGCGCGAGUAUCGACCCUCGUGCGAGCCGUAGCUAACGCGUUAAGCACUCCGCCUGGGGAGUACGGUCGCAAGACUAAAACUCAAAGGAAUUGACGGGGACCCGCACAAGCGGUGGAGCAUGUGGUUUAAUUCGACGGUAAGCGAGGAACCUUACCAAGGCUUGACAUUCUUCUGCAAGCGCACGGAAACGUGUGACCUUCGAGGGUGAAGAACAGGUGCUGCACGGUUGUCGACAGCU
rnacentral:rRNA from 1 species